rnacentral:snRNA from 1 species
AGCUUUGCGCAGUGGCAGUAUCGUAGCCAAUGAGGUUUAUCCGAGGCGCGAUUAUUGCUAAUUGAAAACUACAUAAGAAAAACAGAUGAAGAACUAAGAUUUACUAUGACUAUCUCCUGGAUGCUAGGUAUUUUA